UGAGGAAUAUUGGUCAAUGGGCGGGAGCCUGAACCAGCCAAGCCGCGUGAGGGAGGAAGGCCCUAUGGGUCGUAAACCUCUUUUGUCAGGGAACAAAAGCGAGUAUGUAUACUAGUCUGAGUGUACCUGAAGAAAAAGCAUCGGCUAACUCCGUGCCAGCAGCCGCGGUAAUACGGAGGAUGCGAGCGUUAUCCGGAUUUAUUGGGUUUAAAGGGUGCGUAGGCGGCGGUGCAAGUCAGCGGUAAAAGCCCGGGGGCUCAACCCCGGCGAGCCGUUGAAACUGCAGUGCUAGAGAAGGCGAGAGGUACGCGGAAUGCGCAGUGUAGCGGUGAAAUGCUUAGAUAUUGCGCAGAACUCCGAUUGCAAAGGCAGCGUACUGGCGCCUGACUGACGCUGAGGCACGAAAGCGUGGGGAUCGAACAGGAUUAGAUACC
rnacentral:rRNA from 1 species